AAUAGAUACCCAGGUAGUCCACGCCGUAAACGAUGAGUGCUAAGUGUUAGAGGGUUUCCGCCCUUUAGUGCUGCAGCUAACGCAUUAAGCACUCCGCCUGGGGAGUACGGCCGCAAGGCUGAAACUCAAAGGAAUUGACGGGGGCCCGCACAAGCGGUGGAGCAUGUGGUUUAAUUCGAAGCAACGCGAAGAACCUUACCAGGUCUUGACAUCCUCUGCCAACCCUAGAGAUAGGGCGUUCCCCUUCGGGGGACAGAGUGACAGGUGGUGCAUGGUUGUCGUCAGCUCGUGUCGUGAGAUGUUGGGUUAAGUCCCGCAACGAGCGCAACCCUUGAUCUUAGUUGCCCAGCAUUCAGUUGGGCACUCUAAGGUGACUGCCGGUGACAAACCGGAGGAAGGUGGGGAUGACGUCAAAUCAUCAUGCCCCUUAUGACCUGGGCUACACACGUGCUACAAUGGAUGGUACAAAGAGCUGCGAACCCGCGAGGGUAAGCGAAUCUCAUAAAGCCAUUCUCAGUUCGGAUUGU
rnacentral:rRNA from 1 species